GUAUCGCGAGGUUACGACUCAAGUCCCGCGGAGACACGCGCACACGCACGUUCAAAAACAGUUUAAGAGACAGGAUGGACUGUGCCGUUAUUAACACAUACACAUUCACUGUAAAGCUGUUGGUCUUUAGACCCAGCGCCAAACUUUUCAACACAGCAGAAGUUCGUUGUUGUCUCCUCAUGUGUUCACUGCGGUUCUGGUUCUGAUCAGACCUGAACCAGGUGAAUAUUCUGGUUCCUCCCACACAGACUAACACACUUCUCCUGCUCCAGCAGGUCCAGGUUUCCCGUGAGCCUGAACCGGAGUCUCCCCCUUGUGUUCGUCACCAGCUGAACCUAAGACACGUUAGAGCUCUGCAGCCGCUGCUCAGCUGUUUCUGAGGCCAGGGGUUAAAUCCGCCGGCAUGCGACACAUGAUCCUUAUCAGCCUGUGUGAAGCUGGACACCUGUCGGCGUGGGCUCCGUCCACGAAGCCAAACUGACACCAGCACCAGGCCCGCGGGGCACUGGAGGCUCCGGACCAGCAGACCGGGACCGAGAAACCAGAACGACCCGGAGACGGAACGAGGCGAAGAAAACGGCUCAUUUACUGGACAAAACGUCCCAGACUCAUAUGAAGGCGGUGUUUAAAAUGAAUGGAACAAAUCAGGAA